rnacentral:rRNA from 1 species
UACGGGGGGGGCAAGCGUUGUUCGGCAUUACUGGGCGUAAAGGGCUCGUAGGUGGCCAACUAAGUCAGACGUGAAAUCCCCAGGCUCAACUUGGGAACUGCGUCUGAUACUGGAUGGCUUGAAUUCGGGAGAGGGAUGCAGAAUUCCAGGUGUAGCGGUGAAAUGCGUAGAUAUCUGGAGGAAUACCGGUGGCGAAGGCGGCAUCCUGGACCGAGAUUGACACUGAUGAGCGAAAGCUAGGGGAGCAAACGGG